rnacentral:rRNA from 1 species
CCCGAUCCCAUUCCGAACUCGGAAGUUAAGCCCGCCAUCGCCGAAAGUACUGCAGCGCCAGGCUGUGGGAGGAUAGGGCGUCGCGCUCG